UUCCCUUCCCGUGGGGAACAAAAAGGCUGCCUGUGUAAACACAUGCUUCUUGACUUUGGGUUGCAUGGAGGAGGUAGCUGGUUACUGGAGAGGAGCUGCUCAUCCAUUUCACCUGGGCAAACUGUCCCUCCCCACUAGCAUCGGCUACAGGCACCUGUGGAUGUUAAGUCUGAAGAUGGCACAGAACCUUCUCUGCUCCCCAUGGAGACUACUCAUCCCUGAGCUACCAAAAAGACAUUUGUGUUCAGAUGGAAAUAUCAGCAAAACAAGGUUUGUUUCAACUGCAGUGUGUGAUCCGUGAUACAGACCCAUCUCGUGUUGGUUUAGGAUGGAGCGCACUCAUUUAAACACCGAAGAAACAAUUUCCUCUAUAAUAUUUUGAGACACCAUCAACUUUUCAAAUAAAAGAAAAAGGAUUUUUUUUUUCUCCUUGCUGCCUGGAAACAGUCCUUGCUACAAGUGACACAAUGCAAUAACUCGGUUUGGAGCUGCUCGCUUUCCCAUCCUAUUGUUUCAGGACAGAGCCUUAUAUAGAGAAGGACCAGGCUCCAGGCUGCUCUCCUUGGUAGGCUCCAUCACUGGAGAUGACCUGUAACUUUCCAGUUCUAGGAGGGAGACCAGCAGGCUGCCAGCUGUGAGGAACCCCUGCUUACCUGUACUUCUGAUGAACACCCUUUCACCUCACACUGAAAAUGGACCAUAGAGAAGUCUUUCUGUACAAAUACCACGAAGAAGCCAUGAAGUGGGCAGGAAGGGAAUGGCUCCAACUGACAGUCCCAGUGUGCUAAAGUCCCUGUGGCUGACAGUCUGACCUAGAAUGGUAGCCAUUCCCAAGACAGCCUGUGAGACUGGGAAAGGGCAGUUUUUGUGGAUGUCUGGGCUCUUUGAAGAUGACUGUCAACAACACAUUUCAUAGUGUGCAUAAAAUAGUCCUGGAAGAGUAUCAACGCUUUUCUGCGCACCUUCUGCUUCACUUCAUCUCUUGAUCUCAGCACACUCAGGCUGAUAGGGGCAGCCUGGGGGACCUCAGCACCCAGACAUUAUCUAUGUAAAAUGCAGCCUGUUACCUGAGCACACACACUCAUAUGCUGAUACAAGCUCCAUGUAGUGUAUAGGUUUUCUUGGCUUUUCAAUUAACAGUGUGGUCUAUGAUAUAUGGUAAAAAGAUGACUGAGCAGUUCACCCUCUCUGGCUUCCCUGACAGUUUCACCAGGAGCAAAGUUCCUACACUUGCUGAAUUUGGUGUCCCCUGGACUGUGUCUCACCAGAAUGCAGCCUGUCUGGAUUCUCAGACUCUGAAGCAGUGUGACACAUUCCAGCGCUGCCGAUUAGAAAUGUUCCCUCAGCCACCACUGGGCAGUCCCCAGCACCCCAGUCCCUGCAGAGUCCUUGAUAUCACUGGUAUGUGAGAGCGCAAGUGAGAGUUGUCUAGGAAAGCCGGGUGGUGGCGAAACAGGUCUGUGAUCCCAGCACUUGGUCAACAGAGAAAAUCCCAGGACUCACAGAGAAAAUCCCAGGACUCACAGAGAAACCCUGUCUUGAAAAACCAUAUCUAAAGAGUCACUAUUUGAGAUCCAUGAUCACAGGGUGAAAGUGAGUGCCUACUGAUGCAUGGCUGUGUACUCUGUAACAGUGGGCUUCUCCUUGUAUGUAGUCUUUCUUGACUGGAGUCUGACAUCUACCUCGACAUGUCUUUGUUGGCCUCGCUCUGCUGUUAGGUUGAGAACAUGUUGUAGUGGGUGAUUUCCCUGAGCCUGAUUGGUACCGUGUGGCUGGCCUGGACGGUUGGGCAUUAUCCAUUCAACUUACAGGAGAGGUGGAUGCUCCUGAACCUGAAUGAUCCCUUAGUGUUUGCCCAGAGUAUAGCCAGCCUUUCAGUCAUUAUACCCACACCUAUAGAGUAGCGCCUGCAUGUCUGCAGGGGUGUUGGGUUCCCUGUAGCUGCCCUGUCAUGGACUUCUACACAUGUGCCAAGAGGCCAGCCCUACUAGGGAUCAACUGAGAUUCUUAAGAAAUUUGGGACAAUUCACUUGGAAUUGAGUCCUGGUGGGUAAUAUAUGGCUCUGCAUGGAGAAUGCAGUUCUGUAAAUGAAGGAGCCAAGGCUACUGGCUGGUGUUUUCACUCAGUUACUGAGAGUUUUAUGAGAUGGUGCAAGUAAAAGCAGCCAUGUCGGACCCUGAAGUUGCAGUGCUAGCUGGGAGUAUUCUUUUUUGGAAGGUGGUUACCUGUGUAUGAAUAGUUAAUAUGAACUAGACAGAAAGGGAGGGAAAAGCCAGCAACAUGCCAAGCAUGAGAGUUGACAAUUAUGAUGAGGUUGUAUCCCUGUAGUGCAUAUAUGUGUGCGUGCAUAUGUGUGUGUAUCUGUGUGCAUGUUUAACAGCUGGAGCGAUGAGAGCGUAUAUGUACAGUGUUCAUGGAAAGAUCCUUGACACAGUCAGAUUGCUUUCUUAAACUGUCCAGCUCCAAGUUACAUUUCAGACUUUUCUAUUUCUCAGGUAGUUGGUCUCUGUGUUAGGCAUAAUUUCCAGGGAUCUGCAAGUAAUUUCCUGAAAAGAUUGCCUGGACUUAGUUGUUUCCUCUUAGUUUUUCUUUCCCUUUAGUCUCCAUGGAAAUCUGAUGGUUCCUUGAUUCUCCUCCACCUCUUUCUCCACAUUAGGGUCCAGGUUCCCCUCCCCGGUGAUGUAGAAGUCCGUUCUCAUUGUUUCAAUGAUCUUGCUCCCCUGAAGGGAUGCGUCUUUGUAGGUUUCUCUAUCAGCUCCACCUUGCCCAGCAUCCUGGUUCCCAGGCCAAUUGUAUGGAAAACACGUGCUCUCCAGAACCUGCAGAGGUGGCUAUAAAGGCCCUGCUUCUCAUGAUAAACUCUUCUGGGCACAAGGGGAAGAAAAAGCAUAUUCUAUGUUUCACAUGUUCUCUCGAGAAACUGUUUCUUAAAUACUCUAGGCCAGUGGUUUUCACCUUUCCUAAUGCUACGAGCCUUUAAUAUAGUUCCUCAUGCUGUGGUAACCCCAACCUAAAAUUAUUUUUGUUGCUAAUUCACAACUGUAAUUUUGCUACUGUUAUGAAUUAUAGUGUACAUAUCUCUGUUUUCUGAAGAUCUUAGGCUAUCUCUGUGACAGGAUUAUUCAACCAGGUUGCUACCCACAGGUUGAAAACUACCGCCAAGCAGACUUCUGGCAAGGAUCUUCUACAUUAGGUCCACUCCUCAGCCUUCACAGAACAUGAGUGUGUCUCAAACACUUCUGCUUUGGCCACCUACGACUGCUAAGUGAUGUGUUUAUUGCAUGCAUUUGUCCUGAUCAUGGUGGGUCUUAGUUCCGUGUCCCUUUCUUUUUAAGUUCUCCCAUCUUCCUGGCUUUCCCGCACAUUAGCACUAGCUUAGUGGCACCAAUAUGUACGGGUCCAGUCAAAGGUCCUACUAAGCUGGCUCCAGAAGAGGCAGAAAACACAGAAAGUGACAACUAACAAGUUACCCAAGCUAACAGCAGAUAAACUUAAAAUAUACCAACAUGUUUCUAAUUUAAUCCUAGCUAAACCCUGUUAAGGAUGGAAGGCUACAAAGCACUCCCCCUUGUCAUGGUAGUAACACACGGACUCCAAAAACUGACAGGAUAGUUCUAACAUAGAUAAUCCUCUUGAAUACUAUACAGACUCUAUUAAUUAAAGGGAUUUUUGUAGCAUGUGGCAAGAAAAAUAUACCACGACCAAGUUAAAACGGAUAUUUUCUGAACAUGUGAGUGAGAUGAUAGAAAAAAUUACAAACAGAACAAAUGAAAAUGUGGUAAGAAGUCAAGACUACACAGCCUAAAUUAGGAGACGCCAAGGGGGGUGUUUUUACAAAACUAUCAUUCAUUUGAUGUUACAGACCACUGAUGAGGCAAGAGCUGGUAUUUUUUUUUUUUUUUUUUUUUAGCAGCCAGAAUUAAGGAUAGUGAUAAAAAUGCCAAACUUUCCUAUUAGAGUGUAUAGCAAGACAGGAUGUCAACUGUUGCCAUGACUACUUAAAAGCACUAUUGAUGUGGGACUUAAAAGAACUUAUAUUUUACAGAGGAGGAGGUUGCUGGGAGGUGCCAGUCAGGGGGCACAACAGUUCAGACAGAAGAAGAAAAUCCAAGGAAUGAAUAUAUAUAUAUAUAUAUAUACUAUAACUGAUAUUAUUUUAUAUUCUUUAAAAUGUGUAGUUGUAUUUUCUUUUAUGUGUAUGAAUGUUUUGCCUGUAUGUAUGUAUGUGUGUGUGUAUGCUACAUUCUUGCCUAAUACCUGUGGAAGUCAAAGAGGGCAUCAGGUCCCCUGGAACUGGAACUACAGGGGACUAUGAGCCACGCUGAGAAGGAUUCGCUAUAAAAGCAAUGAGUACUCUUAAUCCCUGGCUGUCUCUCCAGCCUACACAUAUAUUAGUUUUUGUUGUUUCUAUUUUUAUUUUUUUUUUUUUGAGACAGGGUUACUCUGUAUAUCCCUGGCUAUCCGGGAUUCUAUUUGUAGACCAGGCUGAUCUCAAACUCACAGAGAUCCACCUGCCUCUGUCUCCCCAAGUUCUGGGAUUACAAGCAUGCACUAGCAUGCCUGGCUCACAUAUAUUCUUGAAAAAUGUUCAUUAGGUAUAAAAUGUUUUCACAAAAUGACAGAUAUGUAAGAUAAUGAAUAUUUAUUUCAAUUGGCUUUGUUUGGUCAUUCAUACAUAGAGAUAUCUAUUCUCUCUCUCUCUUUUUUAUAUAUGAGUGCUCUCUCUGCAUGUACACCUGCAUGCCAGAAAAGGGCAUCAGAUGUCAGUGUAGAUGGUUUUGAGCCACUGUGUAGUUGCUAGGAACUGAACUCAGGGUCUCUGGAAGAGCAGACAGUGCUUUUAACUGCUGAGCCACCUCUCCAGUCCCACAGAGGUGUAUAGUCAAAGAUCAUUUUGUAUGUAGCUAACAAAUAGAAUUUUACCUGCCAAUAAAAAUUAUCGUUGAAAUAAUACUCAGAGGUAUUAAAUAAGAGUGACUAAACAAAUAAGAGUAAUUAAAAAGAAAAUACCAGGCCAGCUAUUUUCCUAAUUUCAAAUUUCAUGAUUAAUAGAAAAUACAAUCGGGUGCUGGAGAAAUGGCUCAGAGGAUAAGAGCACUGAUUGCUCUUCCCAAAGGUCCUGAGUUCAAUUCCCAGCAACCACAUGGUGGCUCACAACCAUCUAAACAUGAAAUCUGGUUCCCUCUUCUGGCGUGCAGGUGUACAUGCUAACACACAUUGCAUAAGUAAUAAAAUAAAUAAAUCUUUAAAAAAAAAAAGAAAAUACAAUCAACAAAUUAAUAUAAAUAAGAGGAUACAAUACACAAAAUAUGCAUGGGAUAGCUUUGUGAUUGAUGAUUAGUGAGAAAACAUAGUAAAAAGAAGUAGAUAUAAGCACAUGGUUUGUAGCAGCAAAGACAAAUACAACAACAAAUAAAGUCCAAGGUUGGGGUGAACUCAGAAGGAAAUGUAGGGCACACGACACAGAGAACUUUAAACCUUGCCAUGAAGGUCAGUAAGAGCUAAGACCACAAUAACAAUUCAAGCUGAAAUGUCUAUAAAUUUAACAUGAGCCUUUCUAGAAGACCAGACAAGCCAGUUUCCAGAAGAGGGGAAAUGCAUGAAGAAGAGCACACCACGUGAAUAGCCUGGAGAACCCUGGAAACAGCAUUUCUGAGUGGGCCCUCCCCCGGGAUGUUUAUACCCCACUGCCCCAGAGGGAGGCACUAGCCACAUGCGGUUAUCUGAAAGCUAAAAUAACUGAAAAUAAGGUAAGCACUUCGGUUCCUCAGUAGAACCAGCCACAGUUUUAAGCUGAGCACGGCGAGAGGCUCUGUGCCACACCGGAACAAGAGACAGAACAUUUCCAUCAUUGCAGAAGAUUCUGCUCUUCUACAGAAUGCUGUGCCAGUCACUGGGAACUGUCAGCAGACUCUUGACUCAGAUGAAGAAGAGGUGGUCAGUGGGAGGUUAUCUUGAUUACUCUGACUGAGGUGGGAAGACCUGCCCUCUGUGGGAGGCACCAUUUCCAGGCUGAGAUUCUGGAGUGUGUGAAAAGCAGAAAGCUGAAUGAGCACAGAGUUCAUCAACCUCUGCAUUUUGAUUGACGAUGGAGUGUGACCAGCUGCUCCUAGCCUCUGCUGUCUUGGUGGACCAUACCUUAAUCUGCGAGAGAAAAUAAACCCUUUCUCUCUUAA